rnacentral:rRNA from 1 species
AUUGAACGCUGGCGGAAUGCUUUACACAUGCAAGUCGAACGGUAGAGGGGGCAACCCCUCGAGAGUGGCGAACGGGUGAGUAAUAUAUCGGAACGUGCCCAGUCGUGGGGGAUAACGUAGCGAAAGUUACGCUAAUACCGCAUACGAUCUACGGAUGAAAGCGGGGGAUCGCAAGACCUCGCGCGAUUGGAGCGGCCGAUAUCAGAUUAGGUAGUUGGUGGGGUAAAGGCUCACCAAGCCAACGAUCUGUAGCUGGUCUGAGAGGACGACCAGCCACACUGGAACUGAGACACGGUCCAGACUCCUACGGGAGGCAGCAGUGGGGAAUUUUGGACAAUGGACGCAAGUCUGAUCCAGCCAUUCCGCGUGCAGGAUGAAGGCCCUCGGGUUGUAAACUGCUUUUGUACGGAACGAAAAGGUUUCUAUUAAUACUAGGAGCUCAUGACGGUACCGUAAGAA